GACGAACGCUGGCGGCGUGCUUAACACAUGCAAGUCGAACGGAAAGGCCCCCACUUUUUUGGUGGGGGUGCUCGAGUGGCGAACGGGUGAGUAACACGUGGGUGAUCUGCUCUGUACUUCGGGAUAAGCUUGGGAAACUGGGUCUAAUACCGGAUAGGACCAUGGUUUAGUGUCUCUUGGUGGAAACAUUUUUGUUUUGGUGCAGGGUUAGCUCGCGGCCUAUUAGCUUGUUGGUGGGGUAAUGGCCUACCCAGGCGUCGGCGGGUAGCCGGCCUGAGAGGGUGGCCGGCCUGAUGCGGACUGAGAUACGGGCCUGACUCGUACGGGAGGCAGCAGUGAGGAAUAGUGCACAAUGGGCGCAAGCCGGAUGCAGCGACGCCGCGUGGGGGAUGACGGCCGUCGGGUUGUAAACUCCUUUCGUUAGGGACGAAGCCGCACCUUUUUUGGGUGUGGUGACGGUACCUUUGUUAAGAAGCACCGGCUAACUACGUG
rnacentral:rRNA from 1 species